ensembl:lncRNA
CACAUUCUAGCCUAGAGGACAAAGGGAUGGCUGUGUUUCUGUCUUGAAGAAUUCUGGAGUACCAUGGGAGAGAAGGCCUAAGUCCCUGCAGUGGUUUGAAAGAAAAUAGCCCCCAAAAGGGAGUGGCACUAUGAGGAGGUGUGGCCUCACUGGAGGAAGUGUGUCACUGGGGGGGCGGGCUUUGAGGUCUCUCUUGGGCAAGCUUUCCCCAGUGUAAUUGUCAGCCGACUUCCUGGUGUCUGGAGAUGUAGAACUCUCAGCUCCUCCAGCACCACGUCUGUCUGCACACCGCCAUGCUCCCUGUCAUGAUGGUAAUGGACCGGACCUCUGAAACUAGCCCUUGAUGCCGGACCACUCUGAGGAUGAAGACUUGAAGGAGACACACAGGUGUUGCCACGUCUCGGGCUGUCAUACCUGCAACUGUCUUCUUGGGGUGAUCAAAGAUUAUGGCUCUCGGGAGUCUCAGGAAGGAUGUCUUAUUCUGGAAAGUGAGCCCCACGGGCAGCGAAGAUCACCUUUGUCCUUGUCUGUGGAUCCCACUGGAAGAAUGCAUGACCCAGGACCUCUUCACUGGGUCCUUUCCAUAGCUAGCUCCGUCCAGUUCCUGAGUGCAGCUUGCCUGGCACGAGCGAGGGCCUGGAUUUGACCCCCAGCACUAGAAAAUCAAACCACCACACAAGCACAUAGGUAAAAACACAUUGCUUUGUUUAUUAUCCAGUGCCCACAUCUUAGCAACAGUAAUUCCUGCAAAUUUCCAUUUCUAAUGGUAUCAGAAACCAGUAUGUCAACUGUGGACAGUGGCUGGAAUCUCCCUACCCAGGGCAGGGGUGGGGGCAGGGGUGGGGCGGGGUGGGGUGGGGUGGGGGCUGCACCUUUUGGGAAUGGUGACUAUAAAAGGGAAAGGACAGUGUUCCAGGUUUGCCUUUAACAAAUAGCUGGAUAAGCCCUGUCUUCCUGCUCGGAUGUUCUACCAGGCUAGCAUCAUGGUCCAUCUGCCGGUGUAAUCACGGGACUUUGACACCUUGAUUAUAGUUCCAAGAUGACAACCCAGCAUGAGACUGUGUUGAAUUAAGCCAUACCCACCACACGGGAACUAUUCUCCUUCUCCUAAACCAAAGCGGCUGUACAUCUGCCUAAGGUGAUUCCUACCCACCCAUUGGUUGCUAAAAGGAAGCCAAACCUUUUCUUGAUUGGCAUUUAAUAGCCUCAUCUCCAAUGCUAGUGGCCUUCUAGACUGUGGAAACUCAUCUCAGUGUGAAUGUCAAUCAUUGAAAUUUGUUGUAAAUAAUGUAUUUCCCCCAAAAUAAUUUGGAUCUUCAAGCAAUAGAGUAAUGACAAUCACUACCAACCCACUUUGAGAACCACUAAAUGGAACACGCACACCUGAGCUUGAGCACACUUGUGUUUGGCCGGCAUGUCUGUCUUGUGUGUCUACUGCCCAAAGAAGCCAGAAGAGGGUGUUGGAUCCCUUGGAAUUGGAGUUACAGCCACUCCCCUUGUGGGUGUGGGGAAUCCAACCUGGAUCCUCCGGAAGAGCAGCCAGUGCUCUUAACCACUGAGCCUUCCCUCCAGGACCUGAGCGGUAAUUUUGAUAGUGGUGGCUGGAUGAAUGGAUUUCUGUAAGGAGUAUUGCCAUCCGGUCACACCGAGUCUCCUGGUUGUCAGGUAUGGGGUGUCUUUCCAUUCACCUUCACCUUUAAUUUCUGCCAACAAUGUCUGUAGCCUUCAGAGUGCUAAGUGUUAGCGGUUGAGGAAGCAGACACUUGUUAAAGCGGUGGCCUUACAGACAUGAGUAGAGGAGCUGCUGUUACUUCACCUUCAGAAUUGUGUUUGUUUGCUUUUAAACUAAAAGUCACUGGAGAAACAGAGGCAGGAUCAGCCAGAAUCACCAAGUCACUUAGUGAAACUCAUUGUUUCAGGUGAUGCAGGCUUGACUUUGUACAUGUGACCAGAAAUGUGUGUGUCUUCGUCAGUGCUCUGUCGCUGUGAAGAGACACCGCGACCAAGGCAACACUAUAAAAGGAAGUGUGUAAUCGGGGGCUUGCUUACGUUUCAGAGGUUACGGCACAGCCAUGAGGACACACUGCAGCUGUGCUGCUAGACGGGUGGCUGAGAGCUCUACAUCCCGAUCUGAAGGCGGUUGAAACCUCAAAGCCCACCCCAGUGACACUCUUCCUCCAGCAAGGCCACAUCUACUAAUCCCUAGUGCCACUCACUGAUGACCAAACAUCCAAACAUAGGGAGCUGGGGGCCACCCCCCUUCAAACCUCCACAGUUGUUUGUCAUCCCUGUGAUCUGGAAUGUUGUGAGCAAGCUCAGAGAUGCUCUCACCAUCUUUCCCUGGUGAGCUUGUGGACUGUGACCUUGAAUUGAACAGGCUCAGGAAUGUGUGUACCUCAAAGUGAGCAAUGGCCCUGUACUCUCCUACCUGAGGGUCGUGAGUUUCUCUGCUUUCUUUUAGCUUCUGGUGUACUUUUGGGAUUUGCACACACCAAGAUGCAAAUCCUCCUGUUUUGUUAUUUAAGUUUUAGGCCUCUCACUUGCUGUAGCAGUUUGAGUGAGAAUAGCUCCCAUAGGAAGCUGCGUGUCACUGGAGGCAGGCUUUGAGGUUUCAAAAGACUUAGGCCAUUCCUGUGAAGGGCCUAGACCUUCACCCAGCCCCCUGCUUUGGUAGCCAUGACAGGCUGCAGAAAAGACCCAGCAAAUGUAGGCCCUUGACUCAGCAGCAUGUGCUGAGCCCCUGACCUUGUCCUAUUCACUAGGAAGCAAGCUCCAGAUACCUUCCAUGUGGGAAGGAACCAAUUAGAAGUUAGUUGGCGGGCUCUGGGUGUGCUUUACUGAUAAUAGUGGAAUGCAGGGCAUAGCAGCUGCCCUGGGAGGGCCUCUAGGCAUAGAAACCUUUCUGCAACUGCAGCUGACCAAUCAACUCAGGACAGGUUGCCCAGCCUGGAGGUGAACCAAUCCUGAGACUGUUGCUAUGCAACUAGCAGGCCCCCAGACACCCCUUCUUGCUCUACCCCAAUAUAAGCCCUGCCCCACUGCUGCUCAGGGUCCUCCUAUUACACCCACUGCGUCAGACAGAUGGAGGACCUAAGUUAAUGCAUAAAUUAAAAAGACUCUUUGCGUUUGCAUUGGAUCAGGGCUCUUGGUGGUUUGGGGAGUUCAGAGUCUGGGCACAACACCAGGUGUGUUUUCUCUGCUUCCUGUGUGCGCACUACGAUAUGAGCUCUAGAUACUGCUUCAGUGGCAUGCCUGCCUGCUUGCUCCUAUGCUCCCUGCCCUCACCACAGUGGUGAUGGUUCCUGUUGAACUGUGUCCCCUCCCCCAGAUCCUUCUGUUUAUAAGUUGCCUUGGUCGUGGUGUUUUUCUGUUCUUGUUAUUUUUUUUUAUGGUUUUUGUUUGUUUGUUUGUUUUUCAAGACAGGGUUUCUCUGUCUUGAAACAGUCCUGGCUGUCCUGGCACUCGCUCUGGAGACCACGCUGGCCUCAAACUCAUAGAAACCCGCCUGCCUCUGCGCCCAAGUGCUGGGAUUAAAGGCGAGCGCCGCCACCACCACCACCGACAGUCAUGGUGCCUUAUCACAGCUAUAGAAAAGUAACUGAGACACCAGGUGUGGUGACACACUUAUGACCUCAGCACUUGGGAGGUGAAUGCAGGAGAAUCGGUAGUUCAUCAUCAUUCUGGACACAUAGUGAAUUCUGGGCAACCUGACCUGUAAGAGACCUUCUAGAAAAAACAAAUGAAAAGUCCAAAAAGGGUUAUACUUCUUUUGUUAAAUGCAUACCUAUGCAUUUUUUGAUUUGUUUUAAAAUGAUUUUUAUGUGUAUGAGUGUUUUGCCUGUAUGUAUGUGUGUGUGUGUGUGUGUGUGUGUGUGUGUGUGUGUGUGUGUGUGUAUGUAUGUAUGUGUGUGUAUGUAUGUAUGUACCUCCUGUGUGCCUGAUGUGUGAAGAGGCCAGAAGAAGUAUCAGAUCCUGUGGAACUGGAGUUACAGACAGUGUUAGCUGCCACGUGGUGCCAAGAACCAAACCCAGAUCCUCUGUGAGAGCAGUGAGUGCUCCUAUCUCCUGAACCUUCCCUCCACCCUCUAUUUAUUUCUAAUGCUAUCACUGUAAGAUUCAGGCAUUGUACUGGCUUGCCCUGUCACCUGGCAGAAUGCACUCAGGCAGUGCCCUGGUCAGCCCAGGGUUCCAUGAUUGAGUAGUCUCCAUGCAGAUGCAAAGGACCCCUUUAUUAAAAGAAAGACCUCAGCCCACUUAUGUUCUCUUUCCCGCUGUUCUCCUGGGGCAGACAGGACUUUCCUGUCUCCCUCUUCUCUUGUGUCCUCUGUCUCUGUCCUUGUCUCUGUCUCUGUCUCUGUGUCUCUUUACCUCUGUCACCACCACCCCCACUCCCCUUCUAAAACUUCUCAAUAAGCUCUGUCUGUCUGGCAUGUUUGUCCCCCGCCUUCAACUUCGCCAGCCAUGGAAUCCACCAGUGUCCCUUGAGCUUGACGCUAGCAAUCCCAAUGUGCACCUUUUGCUCCUUCUGUCACAUGGCAAAACCCUUCCUUAUACAGAGUUCUGCCUCACACAGGUACUUUAGUCACCUGGAGAUUCCCAGCUGUCUCCCAGCUCAUCGUCCAGACAGCACUCAUAAUGGAUGUCUCCUUUCGCUCUGUUCCAGAAGCUCUGAACGAGUUAAACCUAUGGCCUCAUAGUGAAAUGUCUCUCUUUGCUCUGCUCCAACAGUGCUAAACGAAUUAAAUUUAUCCUUUCCAAGGGCUUAUUAUUUUAGAAAGUGCUUCUUUUCUUCUGCUUUUCAGUUCAAAUGCAAUUAACAGGAAAACAAAAUGUGGCUCACCAUGCUCUCAUCAAAUCCAUGUUAAAUAAGCUUAUUUAAAGAAAAAUCAGGGAGGAAUGGUUCCCCAGCCACUUUCCUUGGGAAGAUUUCUCUUCCUUGAACUAUUUCUGGAAGCCCUUUCGGCAACACAGUUUUCAGUUGCAACAUAUGUGAAUUUCAAGUUGUUUCUUUCUUGGGAAUAACUAGAAAAAGCACUAAACAGAGUUCAGAAAUAGAAAAAAAAAAGAUGUUAUGAAAGAAAAGCAGUGGGACUAACAUGGCGGUCCAAGUGCCCGGGAGAUGGGGACAGCAGCUCAGGAGAUGAAGGUCAUCCUCUGCUAAAGCUCCGAGAGGAGUGGAGGGAGAGGAGAGGAAGGUGUUUUGCAGGGUGGGCAGCACCAUGCUGGCUGAGGAGAUUAGCAGAAGGGCCCUGGCACCCACUAGGGUGUGGCUAGCUGAAACUACAUCAGUAAGACCAGGGAAGAGGGCUGGAGAGAUGGCUCAGAGGUUAAGAGCACCGGCUGCUCUUCCAGAGGUCCUGAGUUCAAUUCCCAGCAACCACAUGGUGGCUCACAACCAUCCGUUAUGAGAUCUGCUGCAGAUAUACAUGGAAGCAGAAUACUGUAUACAUAAUAAAUAAAAUAAAAUCUUAAAAAAAUAAGACCAGGGAAGAAUCUAGGUGGACUCCUUUUUUAAUUGAAAAAUCAACAUACAGGAUAAAAAUGAAUAUAUGUAUCUGGUAAUGAAUAUAAUGGCAUCUACUCUUGGGGCAUGCCAGUCCCUGUGGCCACGCACAGGGAGAAGUGUCUGCUGUUCUUUGCUGCUAGGAGCUGGAUGUGGUGAGCACAGUACCCUCUAGACAACCUCUCCUCCCAUUUUCUCUCCCUUUCUCUUGGGCCUUUGGUUUUGAAUUUAUAGGGAAUCAAUGUGUUUGUCCUCUAUCUUUUUUCCAUAUUUUGUGAGUGAUUCUACCACAGCAAAAUGAAUAUUCAAAUGUAUAAUAUCCAUCAUGACUAAUUUAAUACAUAGUCAAUAGUUUUAUUUGUAAACAUACUACUUUAUUAGUUGGGUAUUUUUGUAUCAAUAAAAG